rfam:Rachicladosporium sp. CCFEE 5018 unplaced genomic scaffold Supercontig_14, whole genome shotgun sequence.
GUUGACUUAGUGUAGUGGUUAACGCACUGCUCUCUGAAUCCCUGCAAAGGCGCGCGCGCACCCUGGUCGGUCGUGUCUGAUCAGCACGGUAUCGUGUGGCCGGGGCCAGAAUAGCAGAGGUCCCUGGUUCGAAUCCAGGAGUCGACA